GUUGGCCUUUGGGAUUAAGAUGGCAGAAGGUUCAACUUCCAGUAGACCAUGAGCUUCAAUAUACACUCAUUGUACUACAAGAGC